UACGAAGGGGGCUAGCGUUGUUCGGAAUUACUGGGCGUAAAGCGCGCGCAGGCGGUUCGAUAAGUUGGGGGUGAAAUCCCCGGGCUCAACCCGGGAAUGGCCUUCAAGACUGUCGAGCUAGAGGACGAGAGAGGUGAGUGGAAUUCCCAGUGUAGAGGUGAAAUUCGUAGAUAUUGGGAAGAACACCGGUGGCGAAGGCGGCUCACUGGCUCGUUUCUGACGCUGAGGCGCGAAAGCGUGGGGAGCAAACAGGAUUAGAUACCCUGGUAGUCCACGCCGUAAACGAUGAGUGCCAGGUGUCGGGGGACUUAGUCCUUCGGCGCCGCAGCUAACGCCUUAAGCACUCCGCCUGGGGAGUACGGCCGCAAGGUUAAA
rnacentral:rRNA from 1 species